rnacentral:sRNA from 1 species
CCAAUACAUUCAGUGGACUGUCUACAGAGCUUCAGUCCAGAAUUGCUGCAUCAGAAUUUAGCUGGUUACAAUUUUAAAUCUGAUAUUUACAGUAUUGGAAUAUUAAUUUGUGAGCUUGCAAAUGGCCAGUCACCUUUUUCAGAUAUGCCUGCAACUCAGAUGUUGCUAGAGAAGCUAAAUGGAACAAAACCAAAGUUAGCUGA